rnacentral:rRNA from 1 species
CACUAUGCCUAGCCUUAAACAUUGAUGGCCAAUUACCUCAACCAUCCGCCAGGGGACUACGAGCAUUAGCUUAAAACCCAAAGGACUUGGCGGUGCUUUAGAUCCACCUAGAGGAGCCUGUUCUAGAACCGAUAACCCCCGUUCAACCUCACCUUUCCUUGUUCAACCCGCCUAUAUACCACCGUCGUCAGCUUAUCCUGUGAAGGCCUUUUAAUAAGCAAAAUUGGCAAAGCCCAAAACGUCAGGUCGAGGUGUAGCGUACGGAAAGGGAAGCAAUGGGCUACAUUCCCUACCUUAGGAAAUCACGAACGAUAUAUUGAAAUACAUAUCUGAAGGAGGAUUUAGUAGUAAGAGAAGAAUAGAGAGCUUCUCUGAAACCGGCCCUGAAGCGCGCACACACCGCCCGUCACUCUCCCCAAGCUACCCCUGCCCAAUAACUAAUAUGUUUAUCCUGCUAAGGGGAGGCAAGUCGUAA